UACGAAGGGGGCUAGCGUUGCUCGGAAUCACUGGGCGUAAAGGGUGCGUAGGCGGGUCUUUAAGUCAGAGGUGAAAUCCUGGAGCUCAACUCCAGAACUGCCUUUGAUACUGAGGAUCUUGAGUUCGGGAGAGGUGAGUGGAACUGCGAGUGUAGAGGUGAAAUUCGUAGAUAUUCGCAAGAACACCAGUGGCGAAGGCGGCUCACUGGCCCGAUACUGACGCUGAGGCGCGAAAGCCAGGGGAGCAAACGGG
rnacentral:rRNA from 1 species